CGCAUCUGUGCAUGCAGCAUAUCAAUAAGCGGAGGAAAAGAAACUAACAAGGAUUCCCCUAGUAACGGCGAGUGAAGCGGGAAGAGCUCAAAUUUGAAAUCUUAAAGGGUUUCCCUUUACGAAUUGUAGUUUAAAGAAGUGUUUUCUGUUGAGGUUUUGGUAAAAGUUCUUUGGAAUAGGACAUCAUAGAGGGUGAGAAUCCCGUAUUUGACCUUUACUUUCAACUUUGUGAUACACUUUCAAAGAGUCGGAUUGUUUGGGAAUGCAGUCCAAAAUGGGUGGUAAAUUUCAUCUAAAGCUAAAUAUUGGCGAGAGACCGAUAGCGAACAAGUACCGUGAGGGAAAGAUGAAAAGAACUUUGAAAAGAGAGUUAAACAGUACGUGAAAUUGUCAAAAGGGAAGCGUUUGACACCAGUGUUGUUUUUCUGAAAAUCAAUUAAAGAACUGUUUAUGCUAAGUUGUUUAGACUUUAUCAGCUAAUCUGCUUAGUUUUGAGCUUUUCUUUAAUGCACUUUUCAGUUAACAAGUCAACAUCAAUUUCUUUUGCUGUAAAAAAGCUUGAGGAAGGUGGCUUGAGAUUCGUCUUAAGUGUUUAUAGCCUCUUGCCUAUGCAGUCGGAGAGAUUGAGGUCUGCAGCGUAGAUCCUUCGGGGCUAAAUGCAUUUGUGCUAAGUUAUAGCAUUUUAUAGACAACUUGUUGACUAUGAUUUGUCUUGUAGCUUACUCGCUUAUGUUAUUUUACCUACGCUUAGGAUGUUGAGUCAUCACACAUCUCU
rnacentral:rRNA from 1 species